CCUAGUCCUAAGUCCUAACUCCUAACCUGAAAUUUGCCCACGCCUAACUCACACUCCAGCUGACCCCAGCCCAGGUAACACACACGCAUGUGAUGGUGUGAACUUGGCUCAGUAGCGUUCUCUUCUUCAUAUAUAGCACCCACUGACGAAUCAGUCGUAACUGUCACCGCUUCUGCAAUUUCCAUCUUCUGAGUACAAUCCAUUUUGUCGAUUUUUCCCACUGGACGGUCAUAAUGAUUUCCGGGUCCAUCCCUCUGAGGCGAAUGAUAUCGACUUUGCCUCAUCUCUCUCAGAGAAUUAAGCAAACAGAAAGUGAGAUUGUGCAAAUGUUCAAGUUAUCAAGCCCAAAAGAUGAAAUCCAAAGAUUGCCCAUGAAUCAGAAGUUUCCAAGGAACAAUCCCUCAGUUAGGACAUUGGAUGAGAGGUUCAUAAGGAUUUUGAAAAUAUUCAAGUGGGGGCCUGACGCGGAGAAGGCUUUGGAAGUACUGAAACUGAAGGUGGAUCACCGAUUGGUUCGUGAGGUUUUGAAGAUAGAUGUUGAGAUUCAUGUUAAGAUUCAGUUUUUCAAGUGGGCAGGGAAGAGGAGAAAUUUUGAGCAUGAUUCCACCACUUAUAUGGCUUUAAUUCAUUGCUUGGAUGAAGCUGGAAUGCUUGGUGAAAUGUGGAAGACAAUUCAGGAAAUGGUUCGGAGUACAUGUGUUAUUGGUCCGGCUGAUUUAUCCGAAAUUGUUAAAGUUUUAGGAAAGGCGAAGAUGGUGAACAAGGCCCUCUCGAUUUUCUACCAGAUCAAAGGUCGCAAGUGCAAGCCAACAUCAAACACUUACAACUCCAUGAUCUUGAUGCUGAUGCAAGAGGGUCAUCACGAAAAAGUUCAUGAGCUCUAUAAUGAGAUGUGUAAUGAGGGUGACUGUCUGCCUGAUACAGUGACAUAUAGUGCCCUUAUAGCAGCAUUUGGAAAACUGGGCCGUGAUGAUUCUGCCAUUAGCUUGUUUGAUGAGAUGAAGGAGAAUGGAUUACAUCCUACUGCAAAGAUUUAUACGACAAUAUUAGGAAUUUAUUUCAAGUUGGGUAGGGUUGAAAAAGCUUUGGGUCUUGUUCAGGAGAUGAAAGAGAAGGGUUGUGCUCUUACUGUUUAUACAUACACAGAGUUGAUAAAAGGUGUUGGGAAAGCUGGGAAGGUUGAAGAAGCCUAUAGUAUAUUUAUGAAUAUGUUAAAAGAGGGGUGUAAACCAGAUGUUGUGCUUAUAAACAAUUUAAUAAACCUUUUAGGGAAGGCAGGUCGUUUGGCGGAUGCUAUUAAGUUGUUUGAAGAAAUGGAGUCUUUGCAGUGCACCCCAAAUGUGGUAACAUAUAACACUGUAAUUAAAGCUUUAUUUGAAUCAAAAGCCCGAGCUUCUGAGGCGUUUUUGUGGUAUGAGAAGAUGAAGGAGAAUGGUGUUGUUCCUAGCUCUUUUACUUAUUCAAUUCUUAUUGAUGGAUUUUGUAAGACGAAUAGAGUCGAGAAAGCUUUAUUGCUUCUUGAGGAGAUGGAUGAGAAAGGUUUUGCUCCUUGUCCAGCUGCCUAUUGCAGCCUGAUCAACGCUCUUGGAAAAGCGAAAAGGUAUGAAGCUGCAAAUGAGUUAUUUCAGGAAUUAAGGGAGAACUGUGGAUAUUCCAGUGCUCGUGUAUAUGCUGUGAUGAUCAAACACUUGGGAAAAUGUGGUCGUCUAAGUGAGGCUGUAGAUCUUUUUAACGAGAUGAAAAAACUUGGGUGCAAUCCUGAUGUUUACGCUUAUAAUGCGCUUAUGUCAGGGAUGGUAAGGGUUGGCAUGACAGAUGAAGCUCAUUCCUUGCUUCGAACCAUGGAAGAAAAUGGUUGCACUCCUGACCUAAACUCACAUAACAUAAUUUUAAAUGGCUUUGCUAGGACAGGGGGCCCAAAAGGGGCAAUUGAAAUGUUUACAAGAAUGAAGAAUUCAAAGAUUAAGCCAGAUGUGGUUUCUUACAACACUGUGCUUGGCUGUCUCAGCCGGGCUGGCAUGUUUGAGGAGGCUGCAAAGCUGAUGAAAGAGAUGAACUCAAAGGGUUUUGAAUAUGAUCUCAUUACCUACUCAUCAAUACUUGAGGCAGUAGGAAAGAUUGAUGAAGAUCAUACACCUGCUGGUCUGUGAAAGGAACCUGGUAUGAUAUAAAUGCUCUCUGUACCUUUUCUUUCUUGUUUUUGUUAGUCAUUAUAAAGGCCACUUCUCACAGGAAAUUGCUUGGUUGAUUUUAGGUUAUUUUAUAGAUUUUCUCUUUUACAAAAUAUGGCGGGUUCAUUGUAAAAACAUGUCAUAUCUACUGAAACUUGUUGGACAUGAAUGCAUCAUUUUCUAAUUUGUUUUCUAGUAUUGUAGUUAUAUAUUAUGAUCACACUUCUUAAGCCUCUAAAAGGUGGACUUUUGUUCAUAUGUUGGUAUUUGAACUAAUUUUUGUGUUAUCAAACAUCUAUUCAGUGUCAUUAUGUUUAGAAUGGGAAUCUGAAACACUGACAGGCCUUCGUUAGGAGGGUGUCAUUCUGUUCUGAGGAGAUCCAACUAUGGAGAUCUAUUCUAAGAUGGACCUUAUAAGCUGGUCAGACUGUUAUGCAUAUUGUCAACAUUAAAAUCAUAAACCUUGUUAGAAGGGAAGGCCAUGUUUCUUCAGAAUAUCUGCUGAGAUCCACAGAUCCAGAGUGUCAAUGCUGUGUGGAUGGGUUGUAUCUGAUAGAACAGGCUGUGAAAUCCUUCAGAACAAGUUAGAAGAUUGCUGACAUACUGAAUUCUAGGAAAUUUCAGAUAAGAGCAGUGGAAAGAAAACCAGAAGCCUUAUAUUCUCUGCUAGAAAUGGCUGAAGAUGCAGUUCGACUCUUCUCAGUAUCACAGUAUCUCAAUUGAAAAGUGCUGUUCUAAGGCUUCUUAACAAUUUGCCUUGUCAGGUGGAAUUGAGAAAGAAGAAAUUGGGUAAUUCUGGACUGGCCUUGUAAAGAGUCAUGGCAUACUACAACAAUAUCUUGAGAAGCUAACACCAUUGAUCAAGGCAAGAUCAUUCAUUUUUUGGGUUGUUUUUCAAAUGAAACACUUUUUUGAUGCUCUUGCAAUGUGGAUAUGAAAUGAAUACAUCGGUUGUUUAUAUAUAUGAAUCACCAAGAAUUAUUUC